GCUUCUCUGAUGUUAGCGGCGGACGGGUGAGUAACACGUGGAUAACCUACCUAUAAGACUGGGAUAACUUCGGGAAACCGGAGCUAAUACCGGAUAAUAUUUUGAACCGCAUGGUUCAAAAGUGAAAGACGGUCUUGCUGUCACUUAUAGAUGGAUCCGCGCUGCAUUAGCUAGUUGGUAAGGUAACGGCUUACCAAGGCAACGAUGCAUAGCCGACCUGAGAGGGUGAUCGGCCACACUGGAACUGAGACACGGUCCAGACUCCUACGGGAGGCAGCAGUAGGGAAUCUUCCGCAAUGGGCGAAAGCCUGACGGAGCAACGCCGCGUGAGUGAUGAAGGUCUUCGGAUCGUAAAACUCUGUUAUUAGGGAAGAACAUAUGUGUAAGUACACUGUGCACAUCUUGACGGUACCUAAUCAGAAAGCCACGGCUAACUACGUGCCAGCAGCCGCGGUAAUACGUAGGUGGCAAGCGUUAUCCGGAAUUAUUGGGCGUAAAGCGCGCGUAGCAGGUUUGGUGCAGAGUCUGUAUGUGUAAUGCCCACGGUCUCAACCGUUGGAUGGGUCACUUGGUAAUCUGGUAAAUCGCUGAGUGCAGAAGAGGAUAAGUGGAUAUUCCAUGUGUACGUGUGAAAUGCGU
rnacentral:rRNA from 1 species